CAAUAAAUACGAUUGAAUGAAUGAAUGAAUGAAUAGAUAAUGCUUGGCCCAUCAGGUUGGGCUUGGGUAUAUCCGGAUAUAAGAGGUCAGCAGACAGAGGGCAGGAGAGGUUGUCACCGACCUGUCCAGGUCACUGCUGGUGCCGCCCCAGGGGGUGGAUCACAUCGGCAUCAGAGGAAUGACGGGGCCACUUCCACCACCCGACCAGGCUCUGCCUACAUGCCCCUCCAGGCUUUCCCGGGAAAAAUCUGGACCCCCUCUGUCCUCCUGCCCUCCUGCUCCACAGAUCAUCAGCCUCCUGCUGCCUCUCUGAUGCCCGGGAGAACCCGGCCCAGGUGCCAACUGGGGACUGAAGUCAAGUAAGAGCUCCCAGCCCAGGACAGACAGGAGAACACGACUGGGCCCAUGGGGCUGACCAGCUGAUGCUGAAUGCUGCUUUCCUAGACCACUUCUCUAGGUUGAGCGAGGAAAUGCCAAUGUGUUUUGUGAAGGAGGAUGGCUGGAAUGUGGGCUGGAGGACUCGUCUGCUGUGAGUGCUGAAGGCUGGGAAAAGACAAGGUGGAAAUCUGGUCCUUGACAACUGCGUCUUCCUGGCCCAGUGACUUGUUCCCAAUACAACUCAGGUGUCGAGAUACUUGUGUCCUUAUUCAUGUCACUUCCAGGAUGUUCCUGCCUCCUCUUGGACAUAUUGGGUCUGCUGCACAACUUCCUGUGGGAACAGACACCCAACCCUUGGGGGAAAGAAGUGUUUCCUGCUGUUUGUUCUGAAUCUGCUGCUCUCCAGCUUCAUUGGGGCUGUUCCUUCACCCUGUCAGGGUGGAAUUUGGGAAACAACAAUUUGCAUUUGCCCUAUCCUUCCACUUUAUGGUUUAUACAUGUCAAUCCUGUCUUUCUGUCAGGCUGGAGAUACUAGGGCUCAUUCUUGCCAACCCUUGCCAUAAACGAAGCCCAGGGAUUUGUUUGUAUCCACCU